CCGAAAUGAGUUGAUUGCAUUUAAGAGUGUUGAUUACAUCGUUAAACUAUCAAGCAAAGCCUUUUUGGUGUGAAAAUCUGAGGAAAAUCGUUAUUAAUUCUGAUACUACUUAUAUUCCGCUUGUCAUUGAUGUUCGUUGCCGAUUUCCCAAAGAUCGCAAUCAGCUGACUGCGUGGCAGUUUGUGUGUUCUUGCGCCCUGCAUGUUUGGUACGUCCGCAAAUAUUUGAAACGCGGAGUGAACCCAAAACAGCAGCAAUGGCCACCCGCAACUGGAAUCUGGAGUGCAAGGUGUAUGUUGGAAAUCUGGGCAACAGCGCUGCCAAGAAUGAGAUUGAAGAUGCCUUCAGCAAGUACGGUAAUCUGCGCAACGUGUGGAUCGCGCGCAACCCACCUGGCUUUGCAUUUGUGGAGUUUGAGGACCCACGGGAUGCUGAGGACGCUGUGCGAGGACUGGACGGAACUCGGCUGUGCGGCGAGCGGGUCCGUGUGGAGAUGUCGUCCGGCAAGAGCCGCAGCCGCGGUGGUAUGCGCGGCGGCGGCGGCGGCUACGGCGGUGGUGGUUUCGGCGGCAGGAGGUCGCCAGGCCGUCGCUCCAUCUCGCCGCGGCGCCGGUCACGCAGCCGCAGCCCGCGUGGUUCGCCCGUCUACGACCGCUACAGGAGCUAAGCGUUGCCGCUCACAAGCUGCCACCUGGGAUGGCGCCAGCCACGACUUCACUUCAGAACCUUGGUCCAGGAGCCGCGACUGAAGAGGUCCGCCGCCACCGACACUGACCGCUGUUGUCACCGUUUGACGCCCCCGGAUGACGCCGGCACCCCCUUACCCCUCCCCAGCGCCGCCCAUAUCCCCUUCCCGCUUCUGAAGCGUGCGCGCUCAGAGGCCGGCCACGAGCCCCGCAGAAUAUCAGCUGUCUAUGAUCUGGCUGGUGGUGUAAUUUGCAUGACUGAUGAGUUCAGCUCACGGUAGCGGUUUGUGGCAUUCCAUUAUUUCAUCUGAGUUCGUGACGUCGGUGUGUAAACGUCAGAAAUACACGUCAUCUUCCGAA
rnacentral:misc_RNA from 1 species